AGGCCGUCCUGUAGCCGGGCCGGCUUGGGGCUUGGUUCUAUGUCCCUGCGGGUCGGUGCAAGGGCGAAGAGGAACCCGUGGGCCUCAGGGGAUCCCGGGGGGCCGGACCAGUGUUCCCUAGUUGUGGGAGCAGACGCGUGGGCACAUUGCGGGCGGGCAGGGCCUGAAGUGCAGGUGCGGGCAGUGGACCCUGGCGGGGGCUGGGAGGACAGGCGUGGGGUCCCGGCAGUGAAACGGGUUCUAGAGGCGCAGGAGCAGGUAGGAGAGGCCGGUGGCCCUGGGCCCGGAGUCUGCAGGCCGCGCUCCUGUCCUGCCGCUGAGGGACCCGGUUACCAACCUGCAUGACGCUCAGUUUGCCCAUCUGUCCCAGUGGUAACACACAGUUCUCGGGAGACGUUCCCCAUUCCCAGAGGAGUAGUGUGAAACGCGUGCGCCUCUAGUCUUAAACUUGGCGUUUGUAUUAGUUGGGUUUCCUGGUGUCUCUUUAGCAAGUGAAGUUUCUGGUUCCCUCCUUCACUGUGUGACCUGCCUAGUCCUCCUGGGUCGCAUUUACAGAAGUUUAUACGAGACCUAGUUUCCAGGGAAGAACUCACUGAUUCCGCGAGGGAGAUGGCUUAAUGGAUGAUGGUCGUCAGCCUUAAGGAUACUUCAGUCUUAACUGUGUGUUACAAAGUUUGAAAGGGAGGGUUCCCUAUGAAUAAGAAGCACACUUGAAAGAACAGCCAUCUGGUCUAACCUCUCACUGGUGCUUCAGAGGAGGAAAAAAGGUCACAGCUAUGUUUCCAGUGUCCUCUGGGUGUUUCCAAGAGCAACAAGAAAUGAAUAAAUCUCUGCCACCCUCCAGGGUGCC
rnacentral:lncRNA from 1 species